rnacentral:rRNA from 1 species
UUCCUACGGGAGGCAGCAGUGGGGAAUAUUGGGCAAUGGGCGCAAGCCUGACCCAGCAAUGCCGCGUGAAGGAGGAAGGCCCUCGGGUUGUAAACUUCUUUUAUCAGCGACGAAGGAUGUGACGGUACCUGAUGAAUAAGCUCCGGCUAACUACGUGCCAGCAGCCGCGGUAAUACGUAGGGAGCGAGCGUUAUCCGGAUUUACUGGGUGUAAAGGUCGCGGAGGCGGGAGGGCAAGUCAGAUGUGAAAUCCAGGGGCUCAACCCCUGAACUGCACUUGAAAUUGUCGUUCUUGAGUACUGGAGU